GAUGAACGCUAGCUACAGGCUUAACACAUGCAAGUCGAGGGGAAACGAUAGAGAAAGCUUGCUUUUUCUAGGCGUCGACCGGCGCACGGGUGAGUAACGCGUAUCCAACCUGCCCAUCACUUGGGGAUAACCUUGCGAAAGUAAGACUAAUACCCAAUGAUAUCUCUAGAAGACAUCUGAAAGGGAUUAAAGAUUUAGCGGUGAGGGAUGGGGAUGCGUCUGAUUAGCUUGUUGGCGGGGUAACGGCCCACCAAGGCGACGAUCAGUAGGGGGUCUGGGAGGAAGGUCCCCCACAUUGGAACUGAGACACGGUCCAAACUCCUACGGGAGGCAGCAGUGAGGAAUAUUGGUCAAUGGGCGAGAGCCUGAACCAGCCAAGUAGCGUGCAGGAUGACGGCCCUAUGGGUUGUAAACUGCUUUUAUAAGGGAAUAAAGUGGGUCUCGUGAGACUUUUUGCAUGUACCUUAUGAAUAAGGACCGGCUAAUUCCGUGCCAGCCGCCGCGGUAA
rnacentral:rRNA from 1 species